UCCUUAAAAAAAGCAUAGCGUGUGUACAAAGCUCACCAUUUCUAAUCAGUUAUCUUUAGAUUACGUUACCACCAACUGUUCCAAAUACAAAUCAAAAUCAUAUAUAAGUCUUAACUUUCCCUUAAUUUCCCCUUAAGAUUAAUACUCAUCUCAUAGAAAAAGGAAUAUAAAUGGAGCAAGAGAAGAAUAAGAGAGCAAGAGAAUAUGAUGAUAUUGAAGCUAAGAUUUGGUUUUCUUUUGAGAAUAAUAACAAGAAAGCUAAAAAAAGAGAUGUAUGUGGCACAAGUUUCACCAAGGAAAAGAAUGAAGUGGAAGAGAAAGGUUGUUUAGCAUUUGGAGUGUUUGAUUUCCCUUGGUUGAAAGAUGGUGUCAUAUACAAAUUAGAAGAUUGUUUAAUUGAUUUUGAAGACAAUUUCUUGUCAUCAUUACAAGACCAAGACAACACUUGUUUCAAGGUUUCUUCUGGUAUUGAUUUCUUUGAGGAAAAUGAUAGAUUGUGUGAGGCUCCAAAGGCUUCAAUGGAGGAUUUGUGGCUGCCAUUUGAGGUUAAUAGAUUGGAGCUUGAAGCAGAAGAUUUGGAUUGUAUUUGUAGCUCUUUGCUAAACAAUUAAGCCUCUUUCAUACAACCAAACAACAUAGGGUAUUUUUUUAUUUUUUAUUUUAAUGUUAUUAGUUCUAGUUACAAUCUUUUCAUCAUAGAUGAAUACAUCACCCUUGUAUUAGAAAUGGGUUAUUUGAAACAAAAUUGGACAACAAUUUCCGAAAGCAAUUCAUAUGGUUAACACGGUUCAUAUAUCUGGUUAAUUACGUUCAGUGGAUGGUUGAUGAAGAUAAAAAUAUGCCGCAACUCAAUAGUCAUCCAUUGAACACAACUAACCACGAUUUUGAAUGUUAUUAACCAUGAUAUUCAACCCCUAUUGGUUAGUUCUAGUUUUUCUUUCACUAUAUUCCCCACCUCCUUCUGCAGGCUUUAUUUAAAUAAGCCAUGCCAUGAAUAUUCUUGUUAAACUUUUUCAUUCAUUUUUUUGUAUGUUGAACAAGUAAAAUGUGGGGAUUUAAUACAUAUAGUAUUCAAUAUUUUUCUGCA